CACCCCAACACACACACACACACACACACACACACACACACUCACUACAAAUAGCAUCUGACGCAAGUCAGGGUAGCUGUUCAGAUGCUGACAUAUCACUGCUUAUACAUGUAUUUUUAGCUCACCUCUUUCAUCAUUGCAUUAUAUGCUUUUCCAUUAAAUCUAAGGAAUCUCCACCUCUUUAAAGACAUCGUGCUGAAGUUGUCCCUUUCAUUUUCAUCUGUUACCGGGUGAUGUAUGCUUCUGUAGUUCUGAGGGGAAAUAAUCUAAGCACCAAGGGUGGGCCUUGGUCUCUUGCUGGCUGAGCAGGAUUUGAAAGAGGAGGUCCUAGUCUUUUAGACACAAUGUCCGGUGGAGUGGAAAACUGUUACUACAAGAGUAUUUUUUGAUGCUUGCUCCCUGCUGAUCAUGCCUGAAAACACUUUCUAGAAAUCUGAUGUGUCAGAAGGGAACUCUGCCAUGCUGACUUCACAGCACCAGGAUCACAAGGAGCUCUAAGACACUUCGGGGGUUUAGUAUACCACUGCCUGCAUGUGGUGAGAAGAUAUCAAUAUUUAUUCAGGUUGAACAGCUAGAGUGGGAUGAUGGAAUCUAAUGGUUUACAUUUUCUCAGUGCCAUCUGUAUAAAUUACCAGACUGCUUUCCAAUCCAGCAGAGGCUGGAGAUAUGGAUAUAGGGGAUGAGCCUCUUGCCUUUAAUUAGAAGCAGCCCCAGGGUGAGAAAAAGAAGCAACCAUAUAAAAUUCUCUAAAGUGCAUCUGGGGAGGUGCAAGAGUUAACAGCAACCCCACUCUGAUCAACCACCACUCUGAUCAGUAGGCAGCUAUCAACAUUGAGGCAAGACCCUCCACCAUCAAGAAGAUUACAACUCGCUGAAAGCUGAGAUGAUUGUUAGCAAUUUUUAACAAUAAAUUACUUUUAAAAUUAAGAUACAUACACAUUUUAUUAGACAUAAUGGUAUUGCACACUUAAUUGACUAUAGUAUAAUCUAAACAUUACUUUUAUAUGCAUGGAAAAUGACUAAUGUGAUGUAAUUGACACAGCUGCCUUGUAAAAUAUUAAUUCAAAUGAAAUAAUUAAUUUGUUGACUAUAAUGAGUAAGUAUUGAUGCUACGAUACAAAAGCUUUUGUUAAAAUGUGGUUGGUUGAUUUCCAUGUCCUUUGAUGUCUUUUUUAAAAACUAAUUUAAAUGUCUUACAUUUGUUAGGUUAAACAGAUUGAUUUAAAAUUCACUAAAACACUUAUUUGGAAGACCCAGAAAUUUUGCUUCUAAAAUAAUUAUUAAAAGUUUGCUUCCAUAUAUUUGAAAAAUGGAGAUUGGAAAAACUGUGUAUUUAGUUACAAAGUCAAAUACUCAAAUAUUUGAUGGAAAUGUUUCUAAAUAUUCAUUUAAAAUUAUCAUUACUUUGUACAAGUUACAUACAAAAAGGAGGUCUCUGUCAAAUAUUAAUCAAAGAGCAUUUUUGCUAUAAAAGGAUAGAUGAAGUAUCCAUGUUCUAAAAUGUUAAGCUAAAUAGCAUAUGACUGAGAAACUACUGUCAGCCCAGAAAAUGUCAGCACAUUUGGAACACUUGUUUGUUGUCGCUGUUGUUGUUUUUUAAAAAGGUGUUACUCAUCUUUGAGUUUAGCAAUACAUGAGUUCCAGAAGGUCAAUAGUGAAUAUCUGAGUACAACAGAUUCUCAUAAAAAUUCUGAGCAUUAUUACAAACUAUUAGUAAAUUUCUUUUACAGUUAUCAAGGAAGUCUUGUUUUAAUUAUGUUAACUGCAUCAAUAACAUCCUAUAUCACUUUUCUGCAUUUUCUGCCUCCAAAUUCUUGUCGUAAUCAUUUGCCAAUGAAUGUUGUAAUAGAAGAGACUUAUUCUUGCACAGUCUAAUUUUCAGCAGUGAUUAUAUUUGUAUUGUUUUCCAUAAAACAUUGUUUUUACCAAAGGCAUUUAUUUUUUGAAAAACGUAUUUUCUCUGUUAUGCUUCCUUUAUUGGCUCAGGAAAAAAAAUUGUACAUACAUUUCAAUAUUUUAAAACAGAAUUCAGCAAAUAUCUUAAGUUGAGAUGUGUUAGAAACAUCUAUUUUCUUUACCAGUUUUACAGAACACCUUCUGUACUGAAUAACUUGUCCUAAUGCUUCUUCAAAUUUUCAAAGAAUGUCUCUUCAUCUUCCAACAAUAUUUACUGAUAAAGGAAUUCAUUUUAGCCAUUUUGACUGUAGCAGGAAGAAGUUUUAGCCCCAUAAAAUACCAAGUGCAUUAGUGAGUCUACAAACUUGUAUUUUUAAAAUUUAACUUCACAGGUAUAAAUAUUUUUAUCAUUUAAUAAAAAACAACAAUAUGGACUCAUGUGUAUUUUAUGCCAAUGUUAAUUUCCAAAUUACUAAUAUGUUAACUAUUGCUAUAUGGAUUAUUAUUUUCUUGUGUAGACCUCAGUAUGUUCUCCCACCGUACUCAGUGCAUAAUUUUAAAAAUUAUAAUGUACAUUUAAAAGUAGAAAAAAAAUAGCUGUACCUAACAAAAUGGUACUAUUAGGUGAGCUUUAGUAACCCAUGUGUGCCAUUAAAUACCAAGCAAGGGUCUCAGGGAUCUAUAAGAUAACAGCUAGGUCAUGGCACGAAGUUAAUAGUUAUAUGAAAAUACAGAAUAUAUGAUUUAAUAGUAAUAUCACAUUAGAAAACGUCUAAUGCUACUUUCAGGCUCUAAGUGCUUCUUGUCUGAUUUUUAUACUCAUGAGAAGAAAUGUGAACAGUUGGUAAUUAUUGGUAAUAUUUCAAGUUAAAUUAUUUAAUUAAAAUUUGCUUUCUUACUUUAUUUUCAUGUUUUAGAACAACUUAGUCUUCUGGCUUUGAGGGUAGUGUUAUGAAUUAUGAUUUCCUCAAUAUUGAACACACAAAAAAAAAUUGUCUUAAGGCUUGUGUCAUCCAUAAAACAGGAUUUCCAUUUUUGGUGGUUAAUAAAAUAUUAUACUGUGUCUUA